GAUGAACGCUGGCGGUAUGCUUAACACAUGCAAGUCGAACGGUCACUUCGGUGAUAGUGGCGGACGGGUGAGUAACGCGUGAGAAUCUGUCUUCAGGUCGGGGACAACAGUUAGAAAUGACUGCUAAUACCGGAUGUGCCUUUGGGUGAAAGAUUUAUUGCCUGAAAAAGAGCUCGCGUCAGAUUAGCUAGUAGGUGGUGUAAGAGACUACCUAGGCUCCGAUCUGUAGCUGGUCUGAGAGGACGAUCAGCCACACUGGAACUGAGACACGGUCCAGACUCCUACGGGAGGCAGCAGUGGGGAAUUUUCCGCAAUGGGCGAAAGCCUGACGGAGCAAUACCGCGUGAGGGACGAAGGCUUUUGGGUCGUAAACCUCUUUUCUCAAGGAAGAUGAUGACGGUACUUGAGGGAUAAGCAUCGGCUAACUCUGUG
rnacentral:rRNA from 1 species